GCAUAUCAAUAAGCGGAGGAAAAGAAACCCUUGCAUUGCUUAGUACGGCGAGUGAGCGGCAAAAGCUCAAAUUUGAAAUCUGGCACCUUCGGUGUCCGAGUUGUAAUUUGAAGAAGGUAACUUUGGAGUUGGCUCUUGUCUAUGUUCCUUGGAACAGGACGUCACAGAGGGUGAGAAUCCCGUGCGAUGAGAUGCCCAAUUCUAUGUAAAGUGCUUUCGAAGAGUCGAGUUGUUUGGGAAUGCAGCUCUAAGUGGGUGGUAAAUUCCAUCUAAAGCUAAAUAUUGGCGAGAGACCGAUAGCGAACAAGUACAGUGAUGGAAAGAUGAAAAGAACUUUGAAAAGAGAGUGAAAAAGUACGUGAAAUUGUUGAAAGGGAAGGGCUUGAGAUCAGACUUGGUAUUUUGCGAUCCUUUCCUUCUUGGUUGGGUUCCUCGCAGCUUACUGGGCCAGCAUCGGUUUGGAUGGUAGGAUAAUGACUAAGGAAUGUGGCUCUACUUCGGUGGAGUGUUAUAGCCUUGGUUGAUACUGCCUGUCUAGACCGAGGACUGCGUCUUUGACUAGGAUGCUGGCAUAAUGAUCUUAAGCCACCCGUCUUGAAACACGGACC
rnacentral:rRNA from 1 species